ACAUUGGUGUUUCCGUGGUGGAAUUCUUGCCUUCCACGCAAGAGGCCUGGGUUCCAAUUCUGCCCAAUGCA
rnacentral:tRNA from 1 species